rnacentral:rRNA from 1 species
UAGGGAAUCUUCGGCAAUGGAGGGAAGUCUGAUCGAGCAACGCCGCGGGAGUGAAGAAGGUUUUCGGAUCGUAAAGCUCUGUUGUUAGAGAAGAACGUUGGUAGGAGUGGAAAAUCUACUAAGUGACGGUAACUAACUAGAAACGGACGGCUUACUACGUGCCAGCAGCCGUGGUAAUACGUAGGUCCCGAGCGUUGUCCGGAUUUAUUUGGCGUAAAGCGAGCGCAGGCGGUUCUUUAAGUCUGAAGUUAAAGGCAGUGGCUUAACCAUUGUACGCUUUGGAAACUGGAGGACUUGAGUGCAGAAGGGGAGAGUGGAAUUCCAUGUGUAGCGGUGAAAUGCGUAGAUAUAUGGAGGACCACCGGUGGCGAAAGCGGCUCUCUGGUCUGUAACUGACGCUGAUGCUCGAAAGCGUGGGGAGCAAACAGG